GAUGAACGCUGGCGGCGUGCCUAAUACAUGCAAGUCGAGCGAUCAGACGAGUAGCUUUCUCCUCUGACGUUAGCGGCGUAAGUGUUAGUUCCACGUGGAUAACCUCCCUAUAAGACUGGGAUCGCUUCCUUUAACCAUAGCUCAUACCGUCUAAUAUAUUGAACCGCAUGGUUCAAUACUUUAAGCCGGUUUUGCUGUCGCUUAUAGAUUAAUCCGCGGCUCAUUAGGUAGUUGGUAAGGUAACGGCUUACCAAGUCAACGAUGCGUAGCCGGCCUGAGAGGGUGAUCAGCCACACUGGAACUGAGACACGGUCCAGACUCCUACGGGAGGCAGCAGUAGGGAAUUUUGGACAAUGGGCGAAAGCCUGACGGAGCAAUGCCGCGUGAGGGAUGAAGGUCUUCGGAUUGUAAAACGCUGUUAUUAGGGAAGAAAAAAUGUGUUAGAAAACAGGAAAGUCUUGACGGUACCGAAAGAGAAAGCAACGGCUAACUACGUG
rnacentral:rRNA from 1 species